GAUGAACGCUAGCGGCAGGCUUAAUACAUGCAAGUCGAGGGGCAGCACAGGUAGCAAUACUGGGUGGCGACCGGCAAACGGGUGCGGAACACGUACACAACUUACCUUAGAGUGGGGGAUAGCCCAGGGAAACUUGGAUUAAUACCCCAUAAAACAGGGGGCCCGCAUGGGCAUAUUGUUAAAGAUUUAUCGCUUUAAGAUGGGUGUGCGUAUGAUUAGGUAGUUGGUAGGGUAAAGGCCUACCAAGCCGACGAUCAUUAACUGGUGUGAGAGCACGACCAGUCACACGGGAACUGAGACACGGGCCCGACUCCUACGGGAGGCAGCAGUAAGGAAUAUUGGUCAAUGGACGGAAGUCUGAACCAGCCAUGCCGCGUGAAGGAUGAAGGUCCUCUGGAUUGUAAACUUCUUUUAUAGGGGGCGAAAAAGGGCCAUUCUUGGUCAACUGACGGUACCCUAUGAAUAAGCACCGGCUAACUCCGUGCCAGCCGCCGCGGUAAGAC
rnacentral:rRNA from 1 species